rnacentral:rRNA from 1 species
GUAGUAGGGCACAGCCCGGCGAAAGUCGGAUUAAUUCCCUAUGACUCCUCACAGAUGACAUCAGAAGUGAAGCAAAGAUUUAUCGCUAUGGGAUGGGGAUGCGUCUGAUUAGGUUGCAGGCGGGGUAACGGCCCACCUGGGCCUACGAUCAGUAGGGGUUCUGAGAGGAAGGUCCCCCACAUUGGAACUGAGACACGGUCCAAACUCCUACGGGAGGCAGCAGUGAGGAAUAUUGGUCAAUGGAGGCAACUCUGAACCAGCCAAGUAGCGUGCAGGACGAACCGGCCCUAUGGGUUGUAAACUGCUUUUAUGAGGGGAUAACCUGCGCCACGUGUGGCGCACUGCAUGUACCUCAUGAAUAAGGACCGGCUAAUUCCGUGCCAGCCGCGGC